AAUAAUUCUAACGUGUGUAAUUCUUGCAGGUCACGCUUGCCAAGAUGCUCUGCGAUAACUGUGAUAAUGUGGAGAGUGAGCAGCGGUCCGUCUUUGACCUUCCUGACCCCUUCCUGAACCCUCGUGUGUCCCACCUUGACCUGCCGGGGAUCAACCCGGAGCUGUGGAAGGAGCGCGUGUCAUGUGGGGUCGGCAAGACUGAUAUUGACAUCGGGGCAGCCGAGCGCAUAUCACCCUGUGUCAUGUGCACCUGUACCAAGGAAGGGAAUUGAAUGGCUGAACGGACAUCUCUGGCGUCUUGGUCUGCCUGCUGCACACUGCACACUCUGGAAGAAAGAACACCAAGAUGUCAAGUUCCUGCAGAAUCAGCCUCUUAGUGAAGAAAAUGUGCCUUAUUUAUUUAAUAAAUAAUUGACAAAAAAAAUAAUUUUGUAUUUAUUUUAGAAAAACUAUAUGGCUCACUUUUUGCAA